GUUCAGGAUAGUCUAUAGAUAGCACAUUUUGUCGAGGACUAGUAUUGGAUCUGCAAUCUUUCAAACUGUCCCAACGAGGCCCCACAAUUCCAUUUGGACCAUUAGUGGAGAUUGGAGUUGAGUAAAGAUUCAACAAAUACUGGUUUCCUGAGUUAAAGGUGAUUGAACCCUAGGAUGAGGUGCUUCUCCCUACAUUUCUCGGUAGGUUUAACGUAACACUAAAUGUUAUCAAUCGUGCCCAGAGUCACUCCACUGACGGUCAAGAUCUAAUUAUGUAUAUAUGAAUAUUUGAUGUGAAACAUUAUGGUUCAUUUAUUAAUCUAUAUAUGUAUAUAAUGGUUGAUGAUGCCAUUAUGAA